rnacentral:ncRNA from 1 species
AACGAGGACUAGGUGGCAGUUCACUCUAAUUUUUGUCAAUGAGUGUCUAGAUCUCUCUAAGAUCACUACUAUGGCACAUUGGUUACUCGUGUAUCCUAUGUUUAUUGUAAAUUAUUCACUCUUUGAGUGUGGAAUACAUAGUUAAUACACCUCAUUAUUAUUUCUCUCAUUCCUCUCUCUCUCUCUCAGUUUCUUUUGCAAGCUUUGUGUGAAUUUAUACUAGCUAGGUUCUCUAUUUAGGUUUUAGAAAAACUUCACAACAAGUAAUGAUUAAUAGGGACUAUUGGGGGCAUUCGUAUUUCUUUGUCUAAGGUGAAAUUAUUGGAUUUAUGAAAGACAAACCAUCGUGAAAGCAUUUGGCAAGCAUGUUUUCAUUAUUGAAGAAUGAAAGUUAGGGGCUCGAAGAUGAUUAUAUAUCGUCCUAGUCUCAACCAUAAAUGAUGUUGAACAUGGAUCAAUGGAUGUUUCUCUAAGGACUCCUCCAACAACUUCUAAGAAAUCAUAGUGUUUGGGUUUCGGGCAAAGUAUUGUUGUAAGACUGAAACUUAAAGGAACUGAUGGAAAGGCACCACUAAGAGUGGAGCUGGUGGCUAGGAAAACUUACUAGGUACAAACAUAGUAAGGAUUGAUAGAUUGAGAUCUCUUUCUUUAUUAUAUUGGUGGUGGUGCAUAAACGUUCUUAUUUGUUGGAGCGAUAUUUUUGGUUAAUUUCGAUAAAGAACGAGACCUUAUCCUACUAACUAGCUAUGUGGAGGUUCCCCUUCAUGGAUAGCUUCUUAGGGGGGCUAUGGUCGUUUAGGCCAUGGAAGUUUGAGUCAAUAAUAGGUAUGUGAUUCUCUUACAUGUUCUAGGCCACAUGCAUGCUACAUUGAUGUAGUAAAAAAGGCAUGCACUAGAUUUCAAUAUUUGCAAGCAUUGCCUACGAGUAUGAAGAAAUUCUUGCAAAAGGAUUUUAGAUGAUUAGUCCUUGGGUUGCAGGGAAUUUAUACUCUCGUUUACAUUUCUUGUCACCUCAAAUAUUUCCUCAUUC